CAAUUAUGCAGAUAUGGGGGCAACCAGAUCUUUGAUUUCUGGUCCAUAGGCUUCCUGUCAACCUUUGAUCCCUUCACCUGUAUUAAAGGACAGCCAGAGGAAGAGGAAGAGGACAAUUCCAGAGCAGUUACAGAGGCUUGUUUGUGAGAAAGCAGAGGACUUCGGGAGCCAGCUCUUCUGCACCAGUAACACAGUGAAUAAACACGUGCUGGGCUUGGGGAAAAGGGUGGAGCUCAACUAAUGCCAGAUGCACAAACAGAACAAAGAAGGAGGCUAUGAACUGGCCAGCAAAAUCUUCUAUGAGAAUGGCCCCAAGAUAAUGAAAUUUAAGAUCCCAAAGAAACGAAGAAAGGAAACUAGUAAAAGUAGGGAAAAUGAAUUUCCAGAAAACUGACUUAAACAAGCUGUGAAGGACUGUAGCAAGGGUGCAGAAUUACAGGCUUAGAAAACAGAGACAUUGAAUAGAAUGGGAACUGCUGAUGGGCAUAGUCUUUAGCAUGUCCUGCUCCAGAGGGGAGUGAGAAGAAAAGAGACUUAAAUGGAGUGUUUGGACACUGGACUGAAUCUGUAGAACCCGUGUCUCUAGAUACGACCAUUAUGUUUGGAAAUAAUCUAUCAACAUGGCUUGGCACUAGAAUUUUUUUAAUGACCCUCUAAGCUUCCUUGCACUUUUAGUAUUUGCUACUUCAUAGUACCAUGCUAUUCCAUGUCUUCCUUAUGGAACUUUUCCCCAGUGUUUCCUAAAAAUAUUUCAUAUACGAGUUGUCAAAAAGACUCAGAAUGGAAGUAUUGGGGGCAAGAUAGCAAGGGAGAUGGCAAAGAAUGUGAUACGGAUGGAAAAUAAGGGACUAAAUCAAUGAGCAAACUUUUAUUUUUCUCCUGGUAUUGCGGCAUACUGUUGCAUGUCCUGUGGCUUUUAAAUCUGGUUAAGAGAUUUUCCACUCCUCUAGGAAUUUCACAGACAUUUCACUAAAUAAAUAUGAUUUGGG
rnacentral:lncRNA from 10 species